GGGGCCCCAUGGGAGGGGACUGGUCUUUGAGUUGUUGAGGUAAUUUAAUUCAUUGUUCUUUCGUGAGCUAAUUGUAUGUGGAAAUUUAUGUAAAUCUUUGGUAAUCAUCCUUUGAGGAAUCUGCUGCUAUCAAGAAAGAAAAAGUCAGUGUCAACCAGCAAAAAAAUGGAAAAAAUCAAAUAGUGAUUGCUGUUUUUUUCAUACUGCAAUGCUAGUGGAGAAGGAGAAUGAGUUUUAUGGUGUGGUUUCAAGAGCCCUGCAGAAAAUAACACAGCCUUCGUUACCAGGAAUCCUCAGUAAAGCAAAGCUCAUCUACUACUAUUUAGUUUUCGGUUUAUUUGUGGACUCUUCGGUUCUUGCAGUGAUGUAUGUACUCAUGAUGAAUUCUUCUUGGACACUGAACCAUAUCCUCUCACUGUGGAAAGCUGGGAAUUACGCUAGUAUUGUUCAUCCACCACGUGGUAUGCGGGCAUUUCUGAACAUUCCCUGACUUCAGAAAAAGAUGACCCCAGGACAUUUGGUGGUUUCUGUUGGCCAGUUCAGACCUGAAAUUAAUCUUCCUUUGCAGAUCAGAGCUUUUGAGAAAUAGUUAAACAAGAUGUGAUUGAGUCACCUCCUUUAUUGAAACCUGUUCUCAUUAGAGAUUGUUGUACCAAAGAUGAUGAGACUUCAGAUGAACCAACUAAGAAAGCUGUCUGAGGAUUUAGGAAUUUUAAAAGGUGUGGAAUUUCAAAGAAAUAUUCCAUUUUGAUGAAGUAAAGGUUAAAGAAGUGCUUGUCUGAAGAGACAGUUGAUCUGCAUACCACGCAGAACAAGUAUUUUGGGAUGGGUGUUGUGAAAGUUUUGG
rnacentral:lncRNA from 1 species